rnacentral:rRNA from 1 species
CAAGGAAUUUUCCCCAAUGGGCUCACGCCUGAGGGAGCAACGCCGCGUGCAGGACGACGGCCUUCGGGUUGUAAACUGCUUUUGGGGGGGAAGACAUCGACGGUACCCCCUGAAUAAGCCCCGGCUAACUCCGUGCCAGCAGCCGCGGUAAGACGGAGGGGGCAAGCGUUGUCCGGAAUCACUGGGCGUAAAGCGCGCGUAGGUGGCACAGUGCGUCGGUGCUGAAAGCGCCGGGCUUAACCCGGCGAGGUGUAGCGAUACGACUGAGCUCGAGGCCAGCAGAGGGUGGCGGAAUUCCGGGUGUAGUGGUGAAAUGCGUAGAGAUCCGGAGGAACGCCGGUGGUGAAGACGGCCACCUGGGCUGGACCUGACACUGAGGUGCGAUAGCGUGGGGAGCGAA